rnacentral:ncRNA from 1 species
AACGUACUGCACCAUUGCCAGGGAUUGGCAUAAUAGACUGUACAGAACCUUUACCGAAAGUUUUACCGCCAAGAAUAAUCGCUCUACGAUGAUCUUGGAGAGCACCAGAAACGAUUUCACUUGCAGAAGCAGAUCCACCAUUGGUUAAGACAACGAUUGGUAAGCCAUUGGUAAUAUCGGUACCUUUAGCAUUCCAAAGUUGAUUAUCUUUUGGAUCACGGGCUUUGGUAGAAACAAUUGCACCAUCUUUGAUAAAGUCACGACAAACUGCAAUUGCUUGAUCCAAUAAUCCACCGGGAUCAUUACGAAG